rnacentral:rRNA from 1 species
GCGCGAAAACUUUACAAUGCUGGCAACAGCGAUAAGGGAACCUCGAGUGCCAGGUUACAAAUCUGGCUGUCGAGAUGCCUAAAAAGCAUUUCAUAGCAAGGGCCGGGCAAGACCGGUGCCAGCCGCCGCGGUAACACCGGCGGCUCGAGUGGUAACCGUUAUUAUUGGGUCUAAAGGGUCUGUAGCCGGCCGGAUAAGUCUCUUGAGAAAUCUGGCAGCUUAACUGUCAGGCUUUCAGGAGAUACUGUCUGGCUCGAGGCCGGGAGAGGUGAGAGGUACUUCAGGGGUAGGGGUGAAAUCUUGUAAUCCUUGAAGGACCACCAGUGGCGAGGGCGUCUCACCAGAACGGACCUGACGGCAAGGGACGAAAGCUAGGGGCACGAACCG